CCUACGGGUGGCAGCAGUGAGGAAUAUUGCUCAAUGGGCGAGAGCCUGAACCAGCCAAGUCGCGUGAAGGAUGACGGCCCUACGGGUUGUAAACUUCUUUUGACAGGGCGCAAUUGGGUCCACGCGUGUGCUUAGCCAGAGUACAUGAAGAACAAGCCUCGGCUAACUCCGUUCCAGCAGCCGCGGUAAUACGGGGGAUGCGAGCGUUAUCCGGAUUUGUUGGGUUUAAAGGGUGCGUAGGCGGAAUAGCAAGUCAGCGGGAAAAAUUCGGGGCUCAACCCCGUCGUGCCGUUGAAACUGAUGUUCUUGAGUGGGCGAGAGGUAUGCGGAAUGCGUGGUGUAGCGGUGAAAUGCAUAGAUAUCACGCAGAACUCCGAGUGCGAAGGCAGCAUACCGG
rnacentral:rRNA from 1 species